rnacentral:rRNA from 1 species
GAACUACAAGUGAAAAACUUGAAACUCAAAGGACUUGACGGUGUCCCAUAUCAGCCUAGAGGAGCCUGUCCUAUAAUCGAUACCCCCCGCUCCACCCCACCUUAGCUAGCAAAACUCAGCCUAUAUACCGCCGUCGNCNAGCCUACCCUAUGAAGGUCUAAUAGUAGACACAAUAGUCAAACCACUAGUACGUCAGGUCAAGGUGUAGCAAAUGUUAAGGAAGUGAUUGGCUACAUUUUUUAUUAUAAAAAACACGGAAUGCACUAUGAAACCGUUCAUGAAGGUGAAUUUAGUAGUAAAACAGACAAGAGUAUCUGCUUUAACAAUGCUCUGGGACGUGUACACACCGCCCG